rnacentral:rRNA from 1 species
UACGUAGGGACCAAGCGUUGUCCGGAAUCAUUGGGCGUAAAGAGCGUGUAGGCGGCUUGUUAAGUCUUGCGUGAAAUCUCGGGGCUCAACCCCGAGCGGUCGUGAGAAACUGGCAGGCUAGAGUGCGGGAGAGGAGAGUGGAAUUCCUGGUGUAGCGGUGAAAUGCGCAGAUAUCAGGAGGAAUACCGGUGGUGUAGACGGCUCUCUGGACCGCAACUGACGCUGAGACACGAAAGCGUGGGUAGCAAACAGG